GACGAACGCUGGCGGCGUGCUUAACACAUGCAAGUCGAACGGAAAGGCCCUGCUUUUGUGGGGUGCUCGAGUGGCGAACGGGUGAGUAACACGUGAGUAACCUGCCCUUGACUUUGGGAUAACUUCAGGAAACUGGGGCUAAUACCGGAUAGGAGCUCCUGCUGCAUGGUGGGGGUUGGAAAGUUUCGGCGGUUGGGGAUGGACGCGCGGCUUAUCAGCUUGUUGGUGGGGUAGUGGCUUACCAAGGCGUUGACGGGUAGCCGGCCUGAGAGGGUGACCGGCCACAUGGGGACUGGGAUACGGCCCAGACUCCUACGGGAGGCAGCAGUGGGGAAUAUUGCACAAUGGGCGGAAGCCUGAUGCAGCAACGCCGCGUGCGGGAUGACGGCCGUCGGGUUGUAAACCGCUUUCGCCUGUGACGAAGCGUGAGUGACGGUAAUGGGUAAAGAAGCACCGGCUAACUACGUG
rnacentral:rRNA from 1 species